CUGAACUUCUUCACCUAAUGGAUUAACUGAGCUUUUGCUUGGUUCUGGAGAGGCAAAGACAAGGAUGCUUUCUGCCACAUGAUGUCACAGCAAGAAGUUCC